UACGUAGGGUGCAAGCGUUGUCCGGAAUUAUUGGGCGUAAAGGGCUCGUAGGCGGUUUGUCGCGUCGGGAGUGAAAUCCACUGGCUUAACUGGUGGCUUGCUUUCGAUACGGGCAGACUGGAGGUAUGCAGGGGAGAACGGAAUUCCUGGUGUAGCGGUGAAAUGCGCAGAUAUCAGGAGGAACACCGGUGGCGAAGGCGGGUCUCUGGGCCGUAACUGACGCUGAGGAGCGAAAGCGUGGGGAGCGAACAGA
rnacentral:rRNA from 1 species